rnacentral:lncRNA from 1 species
UAAAUAGCAAUUUGCCGUUAUAAAUGGCGCCACAUCUUAUCAUCUCCUUUUCCAUAUCAAAUCCAAUACGUCUUUCCCAUCCUUCUCAGUUCUGUUAUCUCGGCUCCUUCUAAUGGAGUCUCUUUCGGUAGGCAUUUUAACUUCUUUACCUCUCCAAUAUCACUUCAAUUCCAACAAAUCCUCUCCAAAAUCCCCAUUUCCCAACUCUUCUCCCACUUUCAUCUGCAAUUCACUCCAACUCAAUUCCUCUAAAACCAGAAAAAUCCCUCCCCUUUUACAAACAGAAGCCCCGAUUCAUCAUUCUACAAAAUCCCAAAAAAUCUUUCCGAAAUUCCAUCUCUCUUUCCUUUCUUUGGGUCUCUCUUUUCCUCUUACAACCCUUGCCGCUGAAACUGCAGUACCCACUGAAGAAAUUCCCUUUAAAAUCAACUUAGAAGCAAUCUUGGUCUCUAUUGAUGAAUUUUUCACCAAGUAUCCAUUUUUUGUUGCUGGGGUUACGUUUAUUUGGCUCGUUGUGAUCCCAUUAGCUGAGGAGUAUUUCCAAAAGUAUAAGUUUAUCUCCGCCGUUGAUGCUUUUGGGAAGCUCCGAGAUGACCCUAAUUCGCUGCUGUUAGAUGUUCGGGAUAAGAAGAGCUUGGCUUAUUUGCCUUCGCCCAAUUUGAGAAUGUUGAAUAAGAGUGUGGUGCAGGUUGAGUUCCGUGAAGGAGAUGAAGAUGCCUUUGUUAAGAGGGUGUUUGAGAAUUUCAAGCAGCCAGAGAAUACUACUGUUUGUGUUUUAGACAAGUAAGUGUUGUCAACAAUAUGUUUAAUACAUUUCUUAGUACAUAGCGUACCAAUAUAUGUGAGAUUUGUUUUGGUCUCUAUUGAUGAAUUUUUCACUAAGUAUCCAUUUUUUGUUGCUGGGGUUACCUUUAUCUGGCUCGUCGUGAUCCCAUUAGCUGAAGAGUAUUUCCAAAAGUAUAAGUUCAUC